AUACGGAGGAUGCAAGCGUUAUCCGGAUUUAUUGGGUUUAAAGGGUGCGUAGGCGGAUGAUUAAGCGUGAGGUGAAAUGCCACUGCUCAACAGUGGAACUGCCUCGCGAACUGGUUGUCUUGAAUGCUCCUGCCGUGGGAGGAAUGUGUGGUGUAGCGGUGAAAUGCAUAGAGAUCACACAGAACACGGAUUGCGAAGGCAUCUCACGAAGGGGUGAUUGACGCUGAGGCACGAAAGCGUGGGGAUCAAACAGGAUUAGAUACCCUGGUAGUCCACGCAGUAAACGAUGAUAACUAACCGCUGGGUCGUAGUGAUUCAGUGGCCAAGCGAAAGCGAUAAGUUAUCCACCUGGGGAGUACGACCGCAAGGUUGAAACUCAAAGGAAUUGACGGGG
rnacentral:rRNA from 1 species